UGCGUUUAAUUACAUUAUCUUAUUGCAUGGUUCUCAACCUAAAACAUGUUUUACCGCCUAAGCGGUAAAUUAGUUUACAGAAAGCAAAUAUAUAUGAACAACGAUCGCUUGUUCCUCAAAAGUGCUUGUGGUAUUUUAGGGUUUUCACGUACGCUUCAAGAUGGUAUCCAAGUCCCAGCUCACUUUUGUGCUCUUGACAUGCGCAGUAAUUCUACUUCUAACCCAGCCAGCUGUGAGUCAAGAAGAUACGCUGCGAUGGGGUAAAAGGGAAAGCGGUCUGCCCGACAAGUUUGUGGCAGAGAACAUCAGAAAUUGGCGCAAGCAACGGUACAACAAGACACGGGAAUACCUCGAUGAAGAGGAAAACAAAGGUCUAAAGGGAUAUGGCUACAAUUGAAAAUGAUUUAACAUCAAUUUACGAAGUCGACGUCCCAAGCUUGGAAAAAAUGUUGCUAAGCUCUCUAAUAUAUAUCAGAUUCAGUAUUUGUCCAUGUUAUUAAAUAAACGUGUUUAAACUCGA